CCUCUUGUUUUGUCAGCGCUCGCCCAUCCAGCAGAAACGGCUCCAGGGCUUCAGCUUCCUCGCAUUCCCGGAAGCUGGACCGAAGCAGUUGAGCCAAUUUGCGUCUUCGCUUCUCGUCUCCGUCCGCGGCUAAGAAGCUAACCGACAAACGCUAGUCCCUCAGACGGUCAGGAGAGAGGAAAAACCGAGCUGGCUCUGUGGCGGCGAGUGGUCAACAAACCCUGAUUGGACUGCUGGCCUUUGAACUGCACAACAGGAAUGCAGCUGCUCUCUGCUGGAGUCUGUUGUCUUGACUCAUUUAGGUCGCGACUCACUGAAGGCCUUCCUUUUCCCAUAAACCAUUGAAGUAAACUGUGAAUGUGUAUCACUACACAAUCUGAGGAUGCGGCUGUGGUUAAGGCCGAGUUCACGGGUCAGCUGAGGUUCUACACUCGGGCUCUAAUGGACUCUAAUGAAGAUAUCUCUUUAGAUAAAUGGAUUGGAGAGCUGUUUCCAACAGCAGUAACACAACCUCUCCUACCCUUUACUUUUAAAGUCUGCUAAUCCGCCUCUCUGUGGUUAAAGGCAGUGAAGGCCUUGUAUUCAGGCUUGAGCUAAUUGAGGACACAAAUGGGCCUUGGAGUUCUCAUGCUGUGUUCUACACUGUUGCAUUGAUGUGUUGGUGUUAGGGUUAUGGGACGGACACCAUUGUAUGCAGGAUAGUGAGUGUGUAAGAAUGACAAGGCAUGUUUGGUCGCUUGAUGGAGGUCAAACCUCUUUUUAUCUUUUUAUCUCAAUAACAGCACUUUUCUUCUGAAUGGAGAAUGCGAGAGGUGCAAAGGUGAAUGUAAAGGAUGAGUGUGAGAGAUUAAUAAAAUGGAGGGAGGGAGACGAGAGAAAAGAGGAGGAAGAGAUGAAACAGGCUGUAUUGACAUCUGUGAGAAAAAAAGAGAGUGAAGGGCCAGAGCAUGAUCUCUUUAUACGACUCGUGGGGGCAACGUAUUUAAAUGAGAAACGGAUGUUUGGAGUAAAUGAGUUGACCUUAACCCUGUGGGUCAGUGCCCUGUUUGUGUGUGUGUGUGUGUGUUUGAAAGAGAGAGAGAGUAAGUAUGCUUUAGAACCAGGGGGUCCGUAUUAAUCCAUUGCCCACCCUGUGAUUGACAGCCUCUGUCAUUGUUUCCCAACACUGAGGAUUUUUCCCAGGCAUUUGAGAAUCACCAAACUCCUCACAUUCAACAGAUGCUGGAGCUUUAUGGCACCUCGUUUUCCCAGCACUCUUUUUCAAUUUGCUCCCUUGCUUAGCUUACUCAUGCACUUGGGCUGUAUUCUUUACCUCAAACAUAUGCAUGUAUUAUAUGCAGUUGUAUGCAAAAAAUUUAAUAUUUCCUGGCCACUUAUGUUUUGUUGAUUUUCUAGGUGAAAAUAUGUUGACAUCUCCUACAUAGAACAAACUUAUAGCAUUUUUCUGCAAAUUUUAUUGCACAAUUUCUAUUAAUUUGCUGAGCUGAACAUAAAAUACAAAAGGUGCCAUAACUUUUGCACAGGCCAGAUAUUGUGUUUUAUUUUUUCCCCAAUAUGUUAAAUUCAUCAAAUAAGCAGUAGUUGUGUUCUCUGUAGAGGAUGUGUUAACUUAUUUUCAUAGAUGUAUUACAUAUAUAUUCAUAAGGCAUGUAAUGAUACAACAAUUUCAUGGUACAAUAUGUAUUGUGGAGUUUACACUAUAAUACAAUAUAGUUUUGAUACAGAAGUAAAAACUUUUUUUAUUAUUGGCAAACAUGCUAACAUUUUUUUAUUCAAUUUACUUCAAUUUUCAGAGAAGACAAAUACAUUUAAACGCAUGUUUUAGUAAUAUUCAAAUUUGACAUUAUUCAAAAAAUAUUCAAAUAAUACCCCAACACAAAAAAAAAGAAGAAGCAUAGGAAUCUAAGGCUACCACUCAGCAUUGCCACUUAGCAUUUCAAUACUACUGUACUGUAUUAAACCCAGACCCAGAAAUUUACACCAAGAAAGGCAGCCAAUCUUAAGCAUUUAAGACAAACAGACACAUUUUAAUCAUCUGUUUUUACCUCAUCUGAUAUUAUUAGCCACUUCAUACCUCACAGCUGAAAAACAGUGAGUUUAUGAAGAGUUAGUUAGCUGAUUCCAAAAGUAAUAAAUAUACUAAAUGAUGUUCACUAGAUGCACUAGAUGAUUCUUAGAAGAGAUCUUUGUAUACUGAACAAAAAUCUAAAUGCUCCCAUUUUGCAAUAGUUUGACCAAAAAAAAUCCAGAAUUUUUUCCUAGAAAUGCGUCACACUGCUACAGGCUCUUGGUGGUCACACCAGAUACUAAUAUGGGAAUUCUGUCUCUCAACCCACCCUGUUUUUUGCAGGGUUUUAGUAUUUUUUUUCUCAGUAAAAUGUGCUGCGUUUUAUCAUUCAGUAUAAAUGUGAGUGUUCAAAAGUUUUAACCCUCAUAUUGUGUUGAAAAAAAGAAUACGUCAAUCAUGUUAUCGUCUCAGGACAAUCAGAACCAGUCAUAACAACAGAAUAUAUCAAAGACAUGUUUUUAAUUUAGGUCUGUGAAACCAUCUGUACCUGAAAGCAUGAGGGUCAAAAUGACCCACAACAUCAUCUUUGUAUACGGAUUUUGUAUAGACCUUCCACAACACAGAUCAGUCUGAUUGUACUUCAUGACCCUAAAUAAGGAAAAGUUAAUGGAGAAAAGCAGAGGGUAAACUCAAAAGGUGGAAAGAGGUCAAAUUGACCCACAACAUAACAGGAGGGUUAAAUGACCUCCACAUAAUAUAAACACUGUCACAUUUGAAAUAUUUUUCUUUUAUAUAAUUAUACUUUUUUAAUGAGUUUAGUUGGAAUUAUCAUACACUUGCAAUUAUAUUGACUGUUAUUCUGUUAUUUCUCGCUGUAUGCGUGAGCCUAUUUGACAUAAUUUCUGAUCAUUGAGAAUAAUUGCUGUGUGCUGAGGAUUCAGCCAUCGAGGAUCAUGAUGAUCAGUGCUCUACAUGCAGCCAAACAGCUCGCCCAACCCUCUGAUCUGCUUUAUCAGGCAGGGCAAGCUCAGGCUAGUGCCGCAGUUCAGCACACCCUCCUAACCCCUGCAUUCACACGCUUCAACAACAGCGCAGGCCGUCCUUUGACCCCUGGGGGUGUGACACUCAACCUUUGCCUCAACCUUCUGACCAGCGCUCACAGCUGCAGCCGACGGCCCGAGGCUGGGGGGCCCUGAGAAAAGGUGGAUUCAGUAAGAGGAGGACAUAAAUGGCCAAGCUGAAUCCUCCGGCCUCGGCCUCUUUUGUCCUUCUUUUGUUUGGCCGGACUGAAGAGCCACAUCUUCACGGGGAACGUGGCUUUUGCAUGAAGGAAAGAAAAAUACAUGACCUCUGGUAAACGCUGCUCCCCUUACCCGUGAUCAGUGUUCUUGUUAGUGUUUCCUCAAAGACUUCUUUAAAUGAGCAGGAUUAUAUGCCUCUAAUAAUAUAGUGACAGGAUUUGAGAAAAGAGCACUCAUCAGCAAUUAGGCUGUCUAAACAGAGACUUUUAAAGGGAUUUUUAAAGUCUAGCAAACUGUUUUGACUAAACAUCUUAAAGGUAUAGUCAAUUUUUUUUUCUUUCAAAUGUAGUCAAUUAGUAAUCUCAAAUAGUCUUGCUGAUGUGGUUUUUGACGCUGUAUUAUAUCUAUAAAAUGGAUAUAAGUGUGUUGCAUAGCUAAAAACAGGAUAGCAGCUGUCUUGAAGCCUGAAAGUUCACAUGGGAGAUUAGCUGUCAUUACCUGUUAGCUACAAAUUGAAUAAUUUUAAAAACAGUUUUCAAAUUGAAUAUAUAGACCUUUUUAAUUCAUCCAAAUUAGUUCAAAUUGUUAUCCCACAGUAAAAAAAAAUUAUUUACAAAAACAAUCAAGUAUUCAUACCCUAGAUAUGUACAAGGAUUAUGUUAUGAUCUACUUAAACUCAAGGCAUUAAUAGAGAUAGUCAUAAGCGAAGUGUAUACAAAAUCAUCAUUUAUGUAGUACUUUCUAUUGGAAGAUAGCUGUCCCAAACAUUUCCUCUUGUGAAAAUUAUACUUACAUAUACUUAAAUCAAACCUUUCUAUGUUUUAAUGGAAAAUAUGAUGAUUUUAUGUGUGUACAACUGUUUAAAGCUGUGUUUGCUAGUCAUGUACUGGUUAGCUUUUUUGAGUUGAAUUUUUCACUAACAAAACAGUCACUACUUAAGCAUUUGGUAAAGAUUAGGUGGUGUUUUUACUGUUGUAUUAGUGACAUGUUUUUCAAUCAUUUGUUUCAAUGAAAUAAACAUAAUUAAGAUAUAAGGUCACUUGAACUCUGACUUAGAACCGGUUUGGUAGAAUGAUCCAUAU